GUCGUCAGAACGUUGUCGUAAACAAGCACACAGGGGUGCGUGCGUCGGCAACUCUUGCUUUCCUACGGAGGACUGCCGCCACACGCACGCCUCGUCCGUGUCAAUGACACAGUCCCCCUCCUUUCCUCACAUCCGCAACCGUCUGCUCAUCUCUACAGCUGUGCUUUUAAAACCGGUCGCUCUUGUCUGUCGGAGUUGCAAAGCAGCACGCACCUGUGUGUUUGCUCGCCCUUCUGCUCAGCUGCCGUGGUCCCCUCACACCCUCCUUCGUACCCCACGCGGUGCAGCGACUGCCGGCAGCUUUCCUUUCUCUACAUCACGCUCACAAGCAGUCGUAACGCGGAGACGUCGUCCAGUCUACCCGCCAGUUUAAACACUUUUCUCCUUAUUCGCAAGCGUUGCCUUGCGCACUCCGCUUUAACCACCCUUCCAUGCUUGUAGAGCCCCGCAUCCUCACAACGACAGAAAAGGCAAAGAAAGGACCAUAUUUGCCGUCCAUUUGAGGUGGGGUGCACGCCAUCCUCGGGGAAGGAGACCCCCGUCUCAACACACACACACACACACACACACACGCAUACUGACUUCAACGACACAUUUGGUGCAGGCCACCCCGCAGCCGCGUACAACCACAUUGCUGCUUCUCUGACCCCUCGCCCGUACCGUGUUUCGCUUCCGAGCAGCUUAGAAUGAGUACCUCCUCGUCGCAAUGCCCACACAGUCCGCCAUGCGCCGCUACAUCGCCAUUCCUUUCCCGCACCAUGUUGUCCACGUCUGAGGUGCCGUCCGUUUCUGCUGGCACCAGCGGUGCUUCUCUAACUACAAACUGGCUCGCACAGUUGUCUGCUUCGCAGUCGGCGAACACCGUUGCCGCGUCCGAGCACUCUAAAGUGUCCAUGCCUGCGCUUGUGGGGCUUCAGCGGCUGGCAGGAAAUGCGUUCUCGCUACGCCAGGUGUCGGUGCCAUGGUCCUCUGUCGCAGCAUCCAGCACUACUGGCUCGACAGGGAGCACAGCGUCUCUUAACCGUGCCACAUCAUUGCCGGAAGCGGAGGUGGCUGCGACAAGCACGGCGACGUCGAUAUCGUGGACUGCACCAGACAAGUCACUUCGAGCGGGAUGGGCGAGCCGCACCCCACUUCCUGUUACGGCCAUGACGGUGCCACACCCGGCCACGGCCUGCGCUCCCUGCUCAUGGCGCGGCACUGCAGGAGGGUGGCGCCAAGAUAAGCAGGCGGCGCCAAGUGAAGCAGAGCAAGUCGUCGGCGACUCGGGAGUGCUCAUGACGCGGCCGCCAGCGUCCUUGCAGCUAAACGGGCCUAGUGGGUCUUUACCCCAAAGCGUGCAUCCUUCACGAUUGCCCGCCUACGAGGGGCAUCCAAGUGACGCACAGAUCGGGUUCGCGACGACCUACACCGUGCCCCUCGGCGCCCCGAUCGACAUGGCGGCGCCACUCAGCCCACUAAUGCAGCCCGCGCCCCAUAGUCUCCACGGCUCUAAUCUCAAUCACAGCGGCAGGGCGCACAGGAUAACGCUGCAACUUCACUCCUCCGAGAUCGGCAGCGUGCUGUCACAGACGGCGCCGCAGCGUAACAGCGGCGGCAACGAUGCGCGGGACUCCGCAAGUCAACAGUCGCUGCUGACUUUCACCCCCCGCGACGAAGCGACGUUUCCGGCUGCGGUGCGCUCGGGGCUCUCCUCGCUGCCGCCGCCUCUGAAGACGCCGAUGCCACUGCCGCACAGGGCGAUCGCUGCUUCAGAGAUGCAUACACCAGCUCACGUCACUGUCGAUGGCGCGCUCAUGAACGGACAGCGCUCGCUGCCCAGACCAGCUGACGCGCUUUGCAACCUGCUCCAGCAGUACAUAGAUGCGCGGCGGGCACUGCAGCCAGAUGCGCGGCAGCAGCUGGGUGGCGUGCCUGGGAAGCUCACAGUACCGCUAGACAUCCAGGAGCUGGUUCUUCGGCAAGUGCAGGACUUCGCUUUGCAGCUCGAUGCUGCGGCUCAUCCGCACGCGCCACCCCACGAGCGGGAGGCCGUCGGUUCUUCGGACCAAGACCACGGCGUGGAGUCGGGAACAGGUGGCCCAUUGGGAGAUGCGGUGCCCCCGCCGCUUCUGUCGGCCGCUGCUGCGCACAAGGGCGACGAAGUUCCCUGGGAUAUCAUUUUCGGCUACCUAGCGCACCGUCCAACCGCAGCACACGCCACGCUGCGUGCCGUAGCCCCUGCGUCGCGGCGCCGACUCGAGCAGCUGGGGUGGCGAUGGAUGAUCGCGAAGGUCGCUAUGAGCGUCUGCCCCUUCAUUCAGGAGAGCGACGCGGAGGGCUUUGUGCGGGACGCGUAUGCGCGCUUGGAUGGGCAAGAGCGGCAGUACGUUGGGAGCGUACCAGUCGCACGCCGUACCCCGCUGCUCCCACUAUACCGGCCGACGCUGGCCAAGAGCGAGCGCCUGCUCGAUGGCAGUGCUCUGCUGCACUGUGAGCGGCAAUCGCUGCUGCUGGAUUGGGCGUGGCGCGAGGGGUGGCUGCACCGCCUCACAUGCACCCACCACGCCUUCGUGCUGCCUCGCCUUUCCGGUGGUCGCACCGUGCUCUCGCGCAUUUGCGUCGACGGCGUCUUUUGCGACGUGCUGCGGCCAAAGCAGAACCGACUCGACGGCGGUGCUGUUGAGGGCAAAGGCGGAUCGGGCGGAGCCUUUACGACAUCCGGGGGCGCAGGGGACAUGAGAGCCAAGGCUGCUUCUGGCGCUCAGCUGACACCGCCGCCUCUGCCUAUUCUAGAGAAGCGACCUACCGAGGCUUUCAGCGCAACGCGGAAGCUGCUGGACGAUGCCGUCAGUGCGAUUUCGCGAGAGUGGGCGCGAAGCGCAGGUGCACCGCGGUCUAAGCAGCUUCAGGCCACGCUGGCCCCUUUCUCACAGCCCUCUCGCGCCAAUACUCCGUCGUCUACCGUCACAGCGGCUAUGGCCAGCUCCCUCGCCAGCCCACCACAGGAGGUGGAGAGAACCUACCGUUGGGACACAGUCACCGACCUUCAGCACCAUCCACACUACGGCCAUGCAUCGCUGCCCGUUCUUGUCGAGGAUGUGAGCGGCACCGCACAUUUGCUGUGCACGAACAAGACUCGACUAGACACAGCAGAGGUGCGGGGAUGGGUCAGUGCCUGGCUGCAGCACCGCCACCGCCUACCUCGCCAGCCCAUCUGCACCAGCGCCGCCGAGUUCUUGCUUGUGCGGUCGCCGUCGGCGCCACUACGCGCUAUAGACGAUGAAGGCAGUGAAGGCGACCGCGUUGUGUGCACCAAUGCCGCCGCUGCCGCCCCUUCGUUGCAGGCAGACGCCGGCAGAACGAGGCGCACCGACGGCACCCCACCCAGGGCAGAGGGCGGGGCAGCACCCGACCCACCUCUGUUGACCGACUCUGUGACCCCGCCGAAGGGUGGCUGGAAGGAGGACGAGGACGAGGACGAGGAGAGCCACGGCGCGGCGAUGCCGGAGCUGGUCUUCAACCUGGACGGAUCGAGGGAUCAUGCACACAUACUCAACGCUGAGGGGCUCGCGGGCGUCGUGGCUGUCGGUGAAGUCGGGCACGCAGGGCGCGACCCUGCUGCGGAGUACCACUUUCGUGUGCACCUGCAGGAUUGGCGCAACAAGGGGUACGGCGUGGUGCGCAGGAUGAACGAAGUAGACCCGCCGUGGUUGAUGCUGGGAAACGCGUCAGGUCCUCAGCCGCGGCCUCUCGCGCUACAUCUGACAGAGCAGCACAUACCAUGGCUAGCACAUCAGCUGUGCCCUGACAGCGAGGGCGGCGGCCUUUUGGAUUUGCAGGAGCUUCAUCUUUUCGUAACGGAGUCGCUGCUGCCGCCAGGAUGGGCGGCGGCGUGGCGAUGGUGCAUUGACGUGCUGCGCGAUCGCAAGAAUUUGCUAGUUUUGAGUGUGGCCGCACGUCCAUGGGCACCAGUCAUGACAGAAGGCGCGGCGUCGGAUGUACACAGCGAGUGCAAACCGCACGACGCUUCUGAGGUCAUUGGGGUGCUGGAUGCCUUCACCGCCCAUGCUGCUAUGUUCACAGCGCCGCUGCAGGUGUUGAGCCUCCAAGGCGCCGUGGCGGACGCUGCGGCGCCGCUUUUCUGCGUUGUGAACCGUGGAGCACACCCGGAGAUCGACGGGGAGGGAGGAUCACCGGCUCUGGAGCGCCUGCGAGAGCUCUAUGUGAGCGUUCGCAGCGGCCAGGGUUCUGGCGGUAGCCCCUGUUCUGUCGGGCUUGACGACGUGCAUGUCACCGCUACCGUGUAUCCGGUGCUUCAGGUGCUCUGGCUCGACGCUCCGCGCCUGCGCCACAUCCACCUCGACGACUUGCUUGUGUUGCGAGAGCUGCAUCUCAUCUCUGAAGCGCCGCUUGCCUGCUCCGCUCUACGCGGGGUGGAGCGGCUUCCUCACCUGGAGGUGGUCCACUUGGAGAGGGCUGUUAUCGACGACUGCUCUUUCUUUGGCGAUUGUCCCGCUCUACGCGAGCUGCUGCUGCACGCCUGCCGACUGUCGCUUUUUCCGCCGUCGUUCGCGAUUGUGCCGGAUUGCGGCGGCGGACGCCUGGAGGAGCUGCGCGGCGUGGAGAGGGCGCCACGGCUUGAGACGCUGUCACUCUGUUACACGGAGGAGGUGAGGAACUUGCAGAACUUUGCUCGGUGCCGCAGCUUGCGCCGCAUCCUCCUAACCCGGUGCAACGGCAUCAGCUCCAGCUCCAUCGCGGGGCUAGAGCAUCUUCCUCGUCUUGAGCUGCUGGCGAUGGAGUACACACGAGUGAGCGGUCUCUCGCACUUUGCGUCUACCCCGGCGCUGCGCAUACUGCGCGUGGACGGGUGCAAGCGUGUGCUACACUCCUCUGUGAUGGGUCUGGAGAACGCCGCCGUUCUCACGGAGCUGUCGUUGAAGAACACCAAUGUCUCGACGGUCGCCAACUUCGGCGGGGGGUGCCGUUCGCUCCGUUCACUGGACUUGAGUGGCUGCCGGCAUCUCGACGUCGACGGACUCCAAGGCAUCCAGGCCCUGCCUCAGCUGGAAGUCCUCUGCCUUUCUCACAUGCCCAUCACGGACGUCAACUUCCUCGCCGACUGCGUGAGGCUAACGGCGCUCUACUUGGAGGGCUGCACGGAACUGUUGCCCACGUCAUUGGAGGGCCUCCAGCAUGCGCCACGCCUUCGCAAGAUUGUGGCGAACGGAUGCCCUACCCUGACGCGAGUGGGCCGUCUUGGCAAGUGCGCUGCCCUCGAAGUCUUCGCCGUCACCGGCGCCACGGCGCUCACCGUGGAGGGUUUGCAGGGAAUCGAGCAGGGUGGCCACAUCGAAUACCUGGACCUAUCUUCCACCGCGGUGCACACGCUUCACUUCUUGGUGGGCGGCUGCCGCGCCUUGCGCUACCUCUCGGUGAAGGGGUGCCGUAGAAUCACCAGCAUGCGCGCACUGCACGGGGUGGAGAAGCUUCCGCGGCUCCAGGCGCUCAACAUGGAGAGCUUGGAUGUACACGGCCCCCUCGAUUUCUUGGCGACGUCCACCUCUCUUCGCUAUGUGUCCUAUGCCGGGUGUGCAAGACUCUCAAGCGAUGAUGUGCAGGCGCUGCGCCGGUCGGGAGUGCAAGCGGCUAUUCCGUGAGUCGCGCGGGAAGGCCCAGACGGCUUCACACAUCGAAAUACGAGCGCAAGAGAGGGACAAGAGGCGCUGCCCAGUCACAAUACAACCUCUAAGAAGCACAAAGGUGUUGCCACGCGUGCAGACGACUGUCUGCGCCACCAUCGAGAUGCGCAGGCCCGCCUACAUGGGAGGACCGAGGAAAC
rnacentral:misc_RNA from 1 species